UUUUUUUUUUUUUUUGAGACGGAGUCUCGCUCUGUCGCCCAGGCUGGGGUGCAGUGGCCGGAUCUCAGCUCACUGCAAGCUCCGCCUCCCAGGUUUAUGCCAUUCUCCUGCCUCAGCCUCCCGAGUAGCUGGGACUACAGGCGCCCGCCACCUCACUCGGCAAGUUUUUUGUAUUUUUUAGUAGAGACGGGGUUUCACCGUGUUAGCCAGGAUGGUCUCGAUCUCCUGACCUCGUGAUCCGCCCGUUUCGGCCUCCCAGAGUGCUGGGAUUACAGGUGUGAGCCACUGCACCUGGGCACGGAAGUCCCACUCUUGAUGCCCCCGAACCACCAGCUUGGUCAAAGCACCAGCCUUCUAUCCCUCCUAAUGGCCUAAGCCACUUCUCGUUAGAAAGCCCAGUGGGCUCUGAGAGGCAGAGCCCGGCAUGCCUGCAUCCCUCUCCCGUGCAUGCCAUGGAGCCUUGUGGGUUACCCUUGUCAAGGAAGGGCUUGCCCUUGGCAGAAAAGGAAAGCAGGCUACUUCCCACCUUCUUGGGGCACUGGCUCAGGGGAUGGCAGAUCCCACCAAGCAUGCUGGCAGACCCUGCCACCAUCCUUGUCCAUUCAUGGAAUCCAGGGUUGGAUUAGAACCCAUAGCCGGGGUUCUGCAUCUGCCUGGCUUCCCAUUAUGAGCACAAGGCCAUCAGGACAUGCAGUCCCUGCUGGCCACAUACCUGAGAGGCAUUCUCUUAGGCCAGGUCACUGGGCUGGAGAGUGGGAUAAGAAGAAGCCAAGGGGCAGAGGUGGGAGGUUAGACUCUAGCCCAACCUUCCUUCAACAGAUAGAAUUCUGUCCAUCAGGGUAGGUUGGGCGCCAUCCCUACAGCCAGGGGCCUGCAAGUUAACUCUGUCUCACCCCCAGCUUGCACCCUAGCUGCGCAGAGAGGUACAAUGGUCGGGAGGGUUGGCCCUCAUUGGCCCAGCUCACCUGGACCCCCAGGGGAGCCCCAGACAGGAGGACCGGGGUCCUGGCACAUUGGACAUCUGUCUAUUUUCAGGAACCUGGCAGCUCAGGAUGACAUGUAGACACACAGCAGGACCCAGCAAUUCCUUAUAUAAACCUUCAUCCUGCAAGGGGCAGUGUCGAGGGCCGGGGGCAGCUGGAGCUCUUCCAGAAGAGCCAGGCUGAAGCUUGCCUCUGACAACCAAAGCUUUCUGCUGAGAUUCACAAGCAGGCUCCAGGAGGACACGGAGACACUUUGGAGAGCAGACCUUAAGCACUCUGACCCAAGGAAGGCUCAGGUUACCUUCCUACGACAUUCAUUCAUAAGAUACUAAUGACAGCCAUUCUCUAUUCCUUAGGGCAGGUCCUGGAGGGACUUCUAGUGUCUUGUUUGAAUAUGCCUUUCACGCAUUCCCUCUCCAGGGUAAACUCUAACUCAGACUGGCCUCCCUUUCUGCUACUCAGUCAACAGGUAUUUAGGAAGCCUCUCCAGCUGGCGGGGCAGGCUAGCCUACUUGGCAGUGGUGUGGUGACCUAGCCACCCCUAGCACCCUCUUCCCCCAGAGCUUUCCAUUCCCCUACUGAGAAGACACCUGUGGUGGCAGGAGCCCACAGACAGGCCUCCCCCUUCUGCAGGCCCCAUAAAGCUUCAGAAUCCCCACCCUCCAACCAAGAGAGGCAGCUGAGAGGGCCGGUGAGUGGUUCUGGAACUAUGGCUGCGUGGAGCUGGAUACAGGGAGUGCCCAUCCUGGUGGCAGGGCACCCACCACUGGGUCCUGCGCAUGGCCCCUUAAGUCCUGAAGCCUGCACCAGGUCUGUGAACAGCCCUCCCCG
ensembl:lncRNA